UGCCACUCAUCACCACUCUUUUGGAGAAGUUUUCCUAAUAUCCAGCAUGAACUUCCCCUGGUACAGCCUGAGGCCAUCACUCAGAAGAAGUGGCUGUUGGGCAGCAGUGGGAAGCCAGAGGUAAAUAAUUUUUUGCUUACAUCUUCAAAACUGCAUCUGAGCCCUUCUGCAGCCCUUAGAGGACAGCCAGGAAAGUAAAGCAUCUUUAGAAGAACAACCAUGUGAGCAAACAGCCUGAGCUGCACAGAGCUGCCCUGCGGAGCCCAAGCAGUGCAAGUGCCCUCUGAGCAGAGCACCUGGAUGGUGAUGGAGACACAGCCACGCCAUGCCACGGAGCCAAAACGAGAGCAAAGAAACAAGAACCGGUGACAACAAGUGACUAAUUAGCCCAGGAGGAUGUUGCCUGAGUAAGCAGUCAGUCAUUUCAGGAUUCAGAGCGCCAAAGAGCCCUCUCUCAUGCGGUUAUGUUGAAGGUCACACUGCUGUGAUGUGCUGGGAAUCAGGCCCAAGGCAAGAGCCCAACCUCAGAUCCGCCGUCGCACAGGGCUUGUUGAAUUUCCCCUCUACCCAUUUGGUUAUUUCCUGAUUCAGCUUUGCCCCAUGUACCUAUUCUCUCUGAACUUGCAACCGGAGAAGCGAUGGGAAAUUCUACCGGGACCGCAAAGUAAUGAAGCAUGCCAGCAGUGACACUGCAGUGCUGCUUCUGGAGCCCUGCCUGCGGCCAUGCCAUUGGGGGUGGUGCAUCGUCAGUACGGUGUUGGUGCCAUGGGAGGAUGGAGCUUCUGGCCUCGCAGCCAUCCUUUGUGCUUCACGCUGGAGGAAAUGUGAACCGGUUUGGUGACUGUCUGCUCUGAGGCAUCCUGGAGGGCAUUCUGUGGGCUGGAUACCUCUUUGGGAACCCCGUGCAGAGACAGAAUGGAGUGUGGCCAGCAUUGCAACCUCUGGCACGUCUCUUUCCAGACAGCACAUCCUGAGCACAAACCCUGACUGCCCAGCUGCAGGCAGACAUCACAGUCUGGCUUCCUCCUUCAGCUGGGGGUAAAGGUUAAGAAGCAGAUGGGUUGUUUUGUAAUCUUGUUACAGUAAUGACUCCAUUACAUAAACGAUCACUUGCUACUUCUUUUCCAGCCAUUCUUCAAAGAAACUGCAUCCAGAUAUUCUGCCUGAGACGUUUAAUUACUGCAGCUCCUCUUACUUAGAGAUGCUGAAAACAGCUGGCUGCCUGUCAGAAUCACCCCACCUCAACUCCUAGACCAGCCCACAGCUGGAAGUGACAUUCCCAUCUCCCAGGACUGUUAUUUUCUCCUGACAAUCCAUGGCAAACACGAGGGCUCUUUGAAAGCUGUACUCGCACGCUCACCUGGUGUGCUCAGGCCAUAGGAAGAAGGAAGGGGUAAUUUAGAGAGGGGCUGUGGCUCCAGCCCGGUGCCAUGCUAUCUUUAAGCACUGUGCUUCAGAAGGCACUCAUUUUGCAUUGUCUCUGUGUUUCCACGUGUCUGAUAAGGGAACCUGCUCUCACGUGGCAGCACGUGGAGGCUGGGAUGCUGACAAACGCUGUUAUGCCUCCAUUUCUCCAGGGAAGGAAGAAUAAAACAGACAAUUUCUGAUUUAUCAGAUUGCUUCAGAGGAUUCAAUAGUGCACGAUGUGAAAAUAAUCUCAGUGAAAAUAAUAGCAGGCCUCCUCGUUUUAAAUAUGCAAUUGUCCUUCAGAUUUUGAGAAGCUCAAAAUACUUGUCCCUGAGUGAUCUCCUUACCAGUCAUUGCUUCAGACACAUCCAUCUAGUUCCCAAAAACUCCCUUCUGAAACAGGUCUGCUUUUCCUUACGGGCAAAACCCUGAUUUUUUCCCUGUGCUUUCUCCUGCAAGGUCAGCCCUGAGGAUUUAAAUCACUUCUCAAUUUGAAAAGAGCACAGACAUUACACCAGCGGGUACGGACGUCACUGGGGCAAGGACACUAUAGUUUGGCUGCAUUGGAGUUUUCUGCUUCAAGUCUAUGAAUACAUCAGGGAAAGCCUGUAAAGACAGAAGAAGGAGAAAGUCUAUGGGAGAGGGAUCCCAGACAUUUCAGAAGGCUAUGGAGAGCACCUGGGCACUCUUUGAGGACUUUGCCAAAGGCUUUCUCUGCUCCCCAUCCAUGGGAAGAAUUGAUAGUGGUGUCUACAGGGUGAGUGAGAUGUCAUUCUGCUGUCUGAGCCUGCUGGCAUGCUUCUGAAAUUCCUUCUGUGUGGAAAGUCUGUGCUGUGGAAGAGAGCAGCCUCAAUCCUUGGUGCAUGGAUUCUUCCAGAGAACUGCCGUGGAACUCGCAGAGAACUCUGGGACUGCAUGACCUCGAGUGCAUAGGGAAAGAAGAGGGAAAUACUACCUAUUUGCUGAAGAGCCAGGUGGGAAAGACUGAAAAAGGGAAAACGCUAGCAAACCAGCAAUAUCCUGGCUGAUCUUUCUUCUGUUUCCCAGAUCAGGGACUAAUGGCGUAUAAAGACGAGGGAAGGAGGGCAGGAUGGAAAGAUUUAUUUUCUUGGUGGUGUUUCUUAUCAGAGCUGUCUGAGGCUGUCAUCUCGUCCUGAUCUCUCUGACUCAAGAGGGCCCUGGUAGGGAGCUCUCUCAUCACUGGAGGAUGGUUUCAUACGGUGCAGUCUCUGAGUUAUCAGCACCCAUGCUAAUUCCUGUGGCUCCAGAACUGCUCUGGCAGCAAAGAAGGGCCACAGAUCAGACCCUGGGAAGGAGACUUCUGAGGAGGUUUCUUUAAUGUGACACAGGUUGCUGUAUGACAAACAACAGGAAACAUGAAUGUUGUCACAGAUUUGUAAUGUUCCAAAGCCUCAGCCAAGACGGAGAGACUGAUCUCACACAUCCUGUGCCCCAGGUGAGCAGUGCUGCCCCGGCUCAAGGGCCUUCCUCAUCCUCAGGUUGAAACUGAUACAGCAGGCAGGGAGUGUGAGGAAUCUGCCACAGGAGAUGGGAAGAACAGAAGGAGCAAACAACUCCCAACUUGUUUACAAAGCUAUUAUUCCGUUCACAGGCUUCUCAGCUGUGAGUUUAUUCCUAAAAGUCAUAGGUGUGGAAGCACUUUGUCAAAGCAUUGAUGCAGCAAAUGUGGACGCAGGAGGACAGGAAGGCAAUCUAGCAGUGCUGAGUGCAGGUGGAAGCAGCGUGGGCUGCCUGGUUGCACUGAGGACACUCACAUAUGCUCACAGCACGUGUGCCAUCCCUGAGGGUUUUUCAGCAAGAACAGAGCAGGUGCUGCUAGAGCAGGGCAGUCAGCCUUGUCACUUAGGAAAUUCACCCUGUGACAGUAUGAGACAAGAAAAAUCCUUGUGGCAGCUGCGCCAGCAAGCUUCUCUAUCCAACAUCAUUGCUGGAAAAAUAGCGUGGUUUUUUUUCCUCAACUACCAUUUGAGAACUUUCUGCAAGAAUAAACUAAACCUACUUGAAGGAGCUGUGUUGUCAUUGCUACAUUUGCAGCCUUAAAGCACAAUCCCAGCGGUGCCCCACUGAAGCAAGAAAGCAAUUCCGCAGAAAACUAUGCUUGCCAAAAAAAUGAUUUGUUCAAAGCACUUGGCUUCGAAUAGAUGCAUAAAUGCUUCCCUGAAAUUUGGAUUGUAAUUGAGGAGCAAUAUGCUCGACAGAACAUGCCUAAUGAACAGGCAUCAAAAUUUACGACCGUAGAGGGGUAGCAGUAAUGGGUUAUGCAGGAGAUCAGUCCUACAUUUCUAGUCAAAGUGAGAACUGCCAGCAGCCUGUGGUAAAGAAGAAGUCUUUUCUCAAUCUCACCUCCUCUUUUAACAUCCUUCAUCAAAGAAGCAUACAGGCAUGACCUCCAAAUGUAAACUAAUGAGAUGUCAGCACACGUACAGUGGUGGUAGCAGAGCAGAACUGUGUAGUUUCAGUGGACCUAGAGGUUUGUACAAACACGGGAGUUUUCCAAAUGCUGUAAUGCCUUUUCUACCUACUCGCCGGAUAAUUCUGUAGCAAAGAGGAACAGUCCCACCACUACAGCAAAAAGUUGUUUCAUAUCUCCUUGUUUUUGUACUAGAGAUUCCCCUGAUUUACAUGAAGAAAAGGAAGUGGGGUAUCUGCAAGAAGUGAAGUCAUCUUGCUAGAGGGUUAGGGCUGGAGCAGCCCUUGCCAUAUCUUUCAAAGGAUACCAUUUUUCAUGCUUUGUUUUUAGGAACUGUCAAGAGAAAGGAAGCGUAGUGAGCAAAGAGCUAUUUUGAGUGAUAGUCAUGCUCUGGCAGUGGCUUGCAUGGUUACAUCUUAAUAGAUCUCUUCCACUUUGGUCUCUACAUGCACAGCUGUGCCUCUGUAUCCUGCCUACGGAGACCAGCUUGAAGCUUGGGGAUUUCUGUAUGUGAGCUGUAAAUACAUUCAUAUCGUCACGUAACAGUUGCACCUACUAUAGAAUCAUUCAGCUUGGAAAGACCACUAAGGUCAUCCAGUCCAACCAUCAACUCAUGCCUACGAUUGCUGUAGACUGUGUCACCCAGUGUGGUAUCUCCCAUUUUAACACCUCCAGGUAUGGUAACUCCACCGCCUUCUGAGCAGCUGUGCCAGUAUCUCACCAGAGAUCCCAUCCAAACCCUGCAAUUCUGUGAUUCUGUGAUCUGGGGAAUCACGUGUGAAAAAUACAGCACACGAAACAACGCUGCCAUGGGUGAACAAACUCCUGCUCUUCACAGUUGUAAACGUCAGCUGUUGGUGGAUGCUCAUGAAAGUACAGAACGAGUCAGGAAUGAAGGUGAAGCAAACAAAGGGCUUUUAUCUAUUUAUUUAUUUUGCUUUAAGAUCCAAAGUGAUUUUAAAAACAAGCUAUUGAUAAACUUCAUCAUUAGAAGAUAUCAAAGCCAUCUGCUGAAGGAGAAAGCUGCUGAGAACAAUAGGUUUUCAAGUUUGUACCUUGAUUUUUACAGUCACUUACAUAAAAUUGACAUAUAUAUAUAUGUAUAGUGCCAAUAAAUACACACAAAAUA